UGGACGUUCCUGGUCUGAAAUCAGGGAGUAUUUUUGCCAAAACUUCAGUGCACAACAACGCAUUUAAAAACAAACCAAACAAUCCUUUGACUGAGCUACUGGAGAGGAUACAUUUCUUUGCUGAAUACCCCCCCAUGGGCGUCGCCCCCAAUGUGCUGGAAAUCCAUCCAGCACAUUGGGGGCGACGAAAUAAGGGACUCCAUCAUUUUCAAUGAAGGGGAACGAAGUUGGCGGGGGACCGUGACCAGAUCAGUGCAGCUGAAGAAAAGGAGUCAAGGAGAGGAGCCAAGAAGAGGACGACACUUAAGUCUAUUGAGGCUUCUUAGGACAACCACUGGACUUGGACAUAACAGACCAUGUUGAUUCUUAUCCAUAUAACUUAAUCUAUGGCUGUCCUUACAAACCUAGAAGAGUAUGAUGCACUAAAUGUGAUGGUAGAAUACAAAGUGCUGCCAAAGACAAUUAAAUUGAUACACCUGGGAUUAUCAAUAAAUCAAAAAUAUCCUUUGAGCAACCAGUUGGUCAAAAGUCAAAAUAUCCAUGAUACACAAUCAGAUUUAGGUUCUUAUAGGAGUUUUUCAAUCUUUAUUUAUACGUUUUUAACUUCAUCAUGUUUUGUGGGUUCACCCGAUAGCUGAUCAAAGGUUGAGCCAUAGAUGUAGGUCAACAUAUAAACAUCUCCUACAGUAGGAGUCCUACAUCUCUGGUUUGUCAGCUACUGUCUAGUUCUAGACCUAGGCUCUGUCCCAAAUGGACCAUAUACCCUAUAAUGUGCACUACUUUUGACCAGGGCCCAUAGUCCACAUGGGCCUCGGUAAAAAGUAGUGCACUAUAUAGGUAAUAGGGUGAAAUUUGGGAUGAAUCCCUAGUCUGUCCAUCUACAAGUACUUAACUAGAUUUGCCUGAUUGAGCAUAGGACUCUGCUUGACGUGGACCUGCUGCCAGGAAGCCUGGAUGCCAUUGAUGCUGCAACACAACGUCAACAUUUUAACCCUAGCCCAGACGGAAUGCACAGACUUAUCCUGUCUAAUCGUCUGCCUCUCAUAUCAUUUAGAAAGUACUGUAUGUUGUGGACGUAUGCCUAACUUGUCGAAUGUAAAAAAUAAAAAGUGCCAGUAAGGAAUGUU